rnacentral:rRNA from 1 species
AUUGAACGCUGGCGGCGUGCUUAACACAUGCAAGUCGAACGGAAAGGCCCUUCGGGGUACUCGAGUGGCGAACGGGUGAGUAACACGUGGGUGAUCUGCCCUGCACUUUGGGAUAAGCCUGGGAAACUGGGUCUAAUACCGAAUAUGAUCAUCGGCUUCAUGGUCGGUGGUGGAAAGCUUUUGCGGUGUGGGAUGGGCCCGCGGCCUAUCAGCUUGUUGGUGGGGUAAUGGCCUACCAAGGCGACGACGGGUAGCCGGCCUGAGAGGGUGACCGGCCACACUGGGACUGAGAUACGGCCCAGACUCCUACGGGAGGCAGCAGUGGGGAAUAUUGCACAAUGGGCGCAAGCCUGAUGCAGCGACGCCGCGUGAGGGAUGACGGCCUUCGGGUUGUAAACCUCUUUCAGCACAGACGAAGCGCAAGUGACGGUAUGUGCAGAAGAAGGACCGGCCAACUACGUGCCAGCCGCCGCUGUAA